CCUACGGGGGGCAGCAGUGAGGAAUAUUGGUCAAUGGGCGCGAGCCUGAACGAGCCACGUAGCGUGAAGGAUGACUGCCCUACGGGUUGUAAACUUCUUUUAUAAAGGAAUAAAGUGAGGCACGUGUGCCUUUUUGUAUGUACUUUAUGAAUAAGGAUCGGCUAACUCCGUGCCAUCAGCCGCGGUAAUACGGAGGAUCCGAGCGUUAUCCGGAUUUAUUGGGUUUAAAGGGAGCGUAGAUGGGUUGUUAAGUCAGUUGUGAAAGUUUGCGGCUCAACCGUAAAAUUGCAAUUGAUACUGGCAGCCUUGAGUACAGUUGAGGUAGGCGGAAUUCGUGGUGUAGCGGUGAAAUGCUUAGAUAUCACGAAGAACUCCGAUUGCGAAGGCAGCCUUCUAAACUGCCACUGACAUUGAGGCUCGAAAGUAUGGGUAUCAAACAGGAUUAGAUACCCUUGUAGUC
rnacentral:rRNA from 1 species